UACAGAGGAUGCAAGCGUUAUCCGGAAUUAUUGGGCGUAAAGCGCUCGUAGGCGGGAUUGGAAGUCCGUGUUGAAAGACCUCGGCUCAACUGAGGGACCGGCUCGGAUACUCUAAUUCUUGAGGCAAUCAGAGGAUGAUGGAAUUCCCGGUGUAGCGGUGAAAUGCGUAGAUAUCGGAAGGAACACCUGUGGCGAAAGCGGCUCACUGGACCAUUACUGACGCUGAGGCACGAAAGCUAGGGGAGCAAACAGG
rnacentral:rRNA from 1 species